rnacentral:rRNA from 1 species
GCGCGGAAGAUGUAACGGGGCUAAACCAUGCACCGAAGCUGCGGCAGCGACGCUUAUGCGUUGUUGGGUAGGGGAGCGUUCUGUAAGCCUGUGAAGGUGUGUCGUGAGGCAUGCUGGAGGUAUCAGAAGUGCGAAUGCUGACAUAAGUAACGAUAAAGCGGGUGAAAAGCCCGCUCGCCGGAAGACCAAGGGUUCCUGUCCAACGUUAAUCGGGGCAGGGUGAGUCGACCCCUAAGGCGAGGCCGAAAGGCGUAGUCGAUGGGAAACGGGUUAAUAUUCCCGUACUUGGUGUUACUGCGAAGGGGGGACGGAGAAGGCUAUGUUGGCCGGGCGACGGUUGUCCCGGUUUAAGCGUGUAGGUGUGUGUUCCAGGUAAAUCCGGUUCACUUUAACACUGAGGCGUGAUGACGAGGCACUACGGUGCUGAAGUAACAAAUGCCCUGCUUCCAGGAAAAGCCUCUAAGCAUCAGGUAACAUCAAAUCGUACCCCAAACCGACACAGGUGGUCAGGUAGAGAAUACCAAGGCGCUUGAGAGAACUCGGGUGAAGGAACUAGGCAAAAUGGUGCCGUAACUUCGGGAGAAGGCACGCUGACACGUAGGUGAAGUGAUUUACUCAUGGAGCUGAAGUCAGUCGAAGAUACCAGCUGGCUGCAACUGUUUAUUAAAAACACAGCACUGUGCAAACACGAAAGUGGACGUAUACGGUGUGACGCCUGCCCGGUGCCGGAAGGUUAAUUGAUGGGGUCAGCGCAAGCGAAGCUCCUGAUCGAAGCCCCGGUAAACGGCGGCCGUAACUAUAACGGUCCUAAGGUAGCGAAAUUCCUUGUCGGGUAAGUUCCGACCUGCACGAAUGGCGUAAUGAUGGCCAGGCUGUCUCCACCCGAGACUCAGUGAAAUUGAACUCGCUGUGAAGAUGCAGUGUACCCGCGGCAAGACGGAAAGACCCCGUGAACCUUUACUAUAGCUUGACACUGAACAUUGAGCCUUGAUGUGUAGGAUAGGUGGGAGGCUUUGAAGUGUGGACGCCAGUCUGCAUGGAGCCGACCUUGAAAUACCACCCUUUAAUGUUUGAUGUUCUAACGUGGACCCGUGAUCCGGGUUGCGGACAGUGUCUGGUGGGUAGUUUGACUGGGGCGGUCUCCUCCUAAAGAGUAACGGAGGAGCACGAAGGUUGGCUAAUCCUGGUCGGACAUCAGGAGGUUAGUGCAAUGGCAUAAGCCAGCUUGACUGCGAGCGUGACGGCGCGAGCAGGUGCGAAAGCAGGUCAUAGUGAUCCGGUGGUUCUGAAUGGAAGGGCCAUCGCUCAACGGAUAAAAGGUACUCCGGGGAUAACAGGCUGAUACCGCCCAAGAGUUCAUAUCGACGGCGGUGUUUGGCACCUCGAUGUCGGCUCAUCACAUCCUGGGGCUGAAGUAGGUCCCAAGGGUAUGGCUGUUCGCCAUUUAAAGUGGUACGCGAGCUGGGUUUAGAACGUCGUGAGACAGUUCGGUCCCUAUCUGCCGUGGGCGCUGGAGAACUGAGGGGGGCUGCUCCUAGUACGAGAGGACCGGAGUGGACGCAUCACUGGUGUUCGGGUUGUCAUGCCAAUGGCACUGCCCGGUAGCUAAAUGCGGAAGAGAUAAGUGCUGAAAGCAUCUAAGCACGAAACUUGCCCCGAGAUGAGUUCUCCCUGAGACUUAAAGUCUCCUGAAGGAACGUUGAAGACGACGACGUUGAUAGGCCGGGUGUGUAAGCGCAGCGAUGCGUUGAGCUAACCGGUACUAAUGAACCGUGAGGCUUAACCUUACAACGCCGAAG